rfam:Bacillus sp. WF146 contig084, whole genome shotgun sequence.
CGCCUCUUUAACCGCAAUCCCGUGAGGUUGCGAAGAGGUUUACGCGCUUUCCAUGCCCAUGGAAGGAUGGAAGGAGUAUGCCUCUUUGUGCCCGCACAAAGAGGUUUUUUGU